rnacentral:rRNA from 1 species
AUAGAUACCCCGGUAGUCCACGCCCUAAACGAUGCGAACUCGGAGUGUUGGGUUCUAAGUUUGGAACCCGAGUACUACGAAGACGUAACGUACGUUAAGUUACGCCGCCUGGGGGAGUACGGGUCGCAAGACUGAAACUCAAAGGAAUUGACGGGGGCCCGACACGAAGCGGUGGGAGUAUGGUUGGUUUAAUUCGGAUGCAACGGCGAAAGAACCUUACCUGGUCUUGACAUCCACGGAACUUUCCAGAGAUGGAUUGGUGCCUUCGGGAACCGUGAGCAGGUGCUGCAUGGCUGUCGUUC